rnacentral:rRNA from 1 species
UACGGGGGGAGCAAGCGUUGUUCGGAUUUACUGGGCGUAAAGGGCGCGUAGGCGGCCUGUGCAAGUCAGUUGUGAAAUCUCCGAGCUUAACUCGGAAAGGUCAACUGAUACUGCUCGGCUAGAGUGCGGAAGGGGCAACUGGAAUUCUUGGUGUAGCGGUGAAAUGCGUAGAUAUCAAGAGGAACACCUGCGGCGAAGGCGGGUUGCUGGGCCGACACUGACGCUGAGGAGCGAAAGCGUGGGGAGCGAACAGG